UCAACUUCUGGAAUCGGAUCA
rnacentral:piRNA from 1 species